GGAGGGUAUAGCUCAGUGGUAGAGUGCGUGCUUAGCAUGCAAGUGGUCCUGGGUUCAAUCCCCAGUACCUCCA
rnacentral:tRNA from 1 species